rnacentral:rRNA from 1 species
UACGAAGGGGGCUAGCGUUGCUCGGAAUCACUGGGCGUAAAGCGCACGUAGGCGGGUUGUUAAGUCGGGGGUGAAAUCCUGGAGCUCAACUCCAGAACUGCCUUCGAUACUGGCGAUCUUGAGUCCGGAAGAGGUGAGUGGAACUCCUAGUGUAGAGGUGGAAUUCGUAGAUAUUAGGAAGAACACCAGUGGCGAAGGCGGCUCACUGGUCCGGUACUGACGCUGAGGAGCGAAAGCGUGGGGAGCGAACAGG